UUAUGCAUGUAAUUCCAGCGGGUGAUCCAAUCCUUUUCAUAAAGAAGCGUGGCAUGACUGACUUCACAAUAUUCCAAUAUUUAGUUACUCUGUAAUUAUGAUGACUCAUCAUAAAAAAGCGCGAAGAGUCAUUCUAUCACCUUGAUUUGCUUUCAGUGGAGUCUCAAGUAGCCUGGCAUAAAAUUAUGUAUGUUUCACACAUGUAUCGGCAGUCAAUCAUAAUUCGUGUCGCUUCAGCCUACGCUAAGUGUUAGUCUUCCAAACUUGCCAUUGUUGUUUAUUGUGUGGCGCUUUGCUUUUCGACAACGAUUUGCUCAAGUUGUCAUAUCUGUGCCAUUUGCUUCUAUGUUGUCCCUGUUAUCUCAUCAUGUGUAAUCGGGGGCACGACGCUGCUGCGCCAAUGAAGUGUUCAAGUGAUCGCCGCUGAUGUUAUUUCAUUUUACGUUCUGCACGGAGCUGCACCCGUGAGCUCGUGGAUUCUGGCGCUGCCGCGUUCACGACCCACCGUCGUUGCUCCUGGUUCCUGGGACCAUGUUGCUGGCCAACUUUGGACCUGGCCAUUUCACCUUACCGGCAACUCGGACAGGUCACGGCUGCUUUCGGCUGGUUCGGCGUGGGAUAUAAUACGCCGGGCCUCACGGCGACUUCGCUGGGCACGACGUCGCUGCACGAAUGGCGCGUUCACUGCAGCAGAUGUUUCAGGGUCGGUGUUACGAGCUGUUGGCUGACUUGAAAUAGGCCGGAGUUGUCGCUGGUGCCUAUCGGAACGUGUUUAAUGCAUCCUGCCAGGAUCUACGCUGCGUAUUGGAAAAUGACCGCAAUUGAAACUGUACUUCAAUUUCCUGAACUCCCUCUGGUGUGCAUGGAGGAGGAUCCUCGAGCCAUCUUGUGUGUAAGUCAUGGAGCC